rnacentral:rRNA from 1 species
AUUGAACGCUGGCGGCAGGCCUAACACAUGCAAGUCGAGCGGAUGAAGGGAGCUUGCUCCUGGAUUCAGCGGCGGACGGGUGAGUAAUGCCUAGGAAUCUGCCUGGUAGUGGGGGAUAACGUCCGGAAACGGGCGCUAAUACCGCAUACGUCCUGAGGGAGAAAGUGGGGGGUCUUCGGACCUCACGCUCUCAGAUGAGCCUAGGUCGGAUUAGCUAGUUGGUGGGGUAAAGGCCUACCAAGGCGACGAUCCGUAACUGGUCUGAGAGGAUGAUCAGUCACACUGGAACUGAGACACGGUCCAGACUCCUAAGGGAGGCAGCAGUGGGGAAUAUUGGACAAUGGGCGAAAGCCUGAUCCAGCCAUGCCGCGUGUGUGAAGAAGGUCUUCGGAUUGUAAAGCACUUUAAGUUGGGAGGAAGGGCAGUAAGUUAAUACCUUGCUGUUUUGACGUUACCAACAGAAUAAGCACCGGCUAACUUCGUG